GCUACGGGUGCUAUCUUUUGUCCCACAAUGGCGGCUGCGACGCUCCGCUCCGUUCUCCGCCGCAAUAGCCUUCUGCCCCUGUUCGAAACCCGCAGCCUUCGAGGUCUCUUCUUCUUCUCCUCCUCUAUCGACCCUGCCGCCGCUGUAGGCGUCACCAUAUCUCCAGAUCCGAACUUCAUGGUGGAAUACCUCGUGAACUCCUGUGGGUUCUCCCCCUCCGAGGCAGCCAAGUUCUCUAAACCCCUUGCGCACCUCCGAUCCACCGAGAAACCAGACGCCGUCAUUAACUUCAUGAGAUCUCAGGGCUUCGACGGGGCCGGUAUCAGGAAGGUGAUAUCUGGGGAUCCCAGAUACUUAUGCUGCAACGUGGAGAAGAACCUCACCCCGAAGUUUCAGUUCUUACGCGAUUUGGGCCUAUCGGAGUCGGAUAUCGCCGAUGCCAUCCUGAAGAACGAUGUCAUCCUGCGCCUCGACGUUCACCGUUCCUUGGUCCCCAAAUUGGAGAUGUGGGAAAGUAUCUUGGGAUCGAGAGAGCUCGUUCUCAAGCAUCUCAAGAAGACAAGAUGGUUUUUCUUCUCCAGCGUCGAGAAGACAUUGCAUCCUAACUUAAAGUUCUUGAGGGAUGAGUGCGGCAUUCCUGAAGAAAGGGUCUCUGUCGUCUUGAGAAGUUACCCACAAUUAAUCUCACAGAAACCAGAGUCUCUCCGAGCUUUGGUGGCGAGAGCCAAUGAGCUGGGAAUGCCACGGCAAUCUCGGAUGUUCGUGCGGACACUUAAUGCUCUCCACAACGUAAGCCAAGAAAGGUUCGAGGCCAAGGUCGAGCUCAUGAGGAGCUUCGGGUGGUCGGAGUCGGAGUUUUCUUCCGUAGUCAGGAAAGUGCCAACCUUCUCAUGCAUGUCCCUCGAUAUGAUGCGCAGAAAAAUGAAAUUUUUUAUCAAUGUAGUCGGGUACACCCCUUCCUUCAUCGCCUCCCAACCAACUAUCUUGCUAUAUAGUCUGCAGAAGAGGGUAAUUCCUCGGUUUCGUGUCACAGAGAUGUUGAAAUCGAAAGGAUUGUGGACUGGACAAGGCAAGUUUACAUGCAUUCUCACAUUCUCAGAUACCAAAUUCAUGGAGAAGUUUGUUCUCCCUCACAAAGAAAAUGUUCCUGAGCUGCUUGAUAUUUUGAGAGUUGCUGGCACCUGGAAAGGAAAUGAUACCUUGCAUUUGGCAUCGGAGGAUGAGGAAGGGCUUAGCUGAUGGUCUAAUUUGUGACGACGAAGGUAGAUUAUUCCCCUAAUUUGAGAUUUUGGAAAUAGAAUGCAAAGGGCUUAUCAAAAGGUGAAUUGAGUGGCUUCAAUGGAAUUUGAAAGACCGGUUGCACUGGGUUGAUCAGGAGUCACCAGCUCUUCUGAAAUGUCUUCAACCUCCUUUGGAAUUGCUAAAGCUUUUCUCGCAUCAACAAACUCUUGCAUGCCUCCAUAGGCUUCUGCUCGUCCACUCUUUGGGAUUCCAGGUGCAGAUCUCUUCAUUCUUGGAUUUGGUGGAUGCAACUUCUCAUCAUCAUAGCUGAAGCUUCUGCUCCACUUGAAAGCCUUCAGAAGGCUGCACAACUAAAUUUCUCCAACAUCUUUAUCGAGCUAAUUCCCUUGGAGUUAGUCGAUUCGUUGGUUCCUUAAGAAUAUUUUGGAUGUCAUUUUAUUUCUUAUUUCAAGUCUUUAUGUUGCCGAUGUGGUCCAUGUUUCCCGCAUCAUGAACCGCGUGGCCCAUUGGCUAGUCAAUCUCGGAAGGGCUGUAAAUUCUCUACGUGUUUUUGGGUCUUGUAAUGAUAGAUCAGUCUAGCGCAGUAUCUAGUCCUCUUUAAUCUUUAAUGAAAUUUCUCCUUUUUCGGUAAAAAAAGAAAAAGAAA